UGGGGAAUAUUGGACAAUGGGGGCAACCCUGAUCCAGCCAUGCCGCGUGCGUGAAGAAGGCCUUAGGGUUGUAAAGCGCUUUCACUGGUGAAGAUGAUGACGGUAGCCGGAGAAGAAGCCCCGGCCAACUCCGUGCCAGCAGCCGCGGUAAUACGGAGGGGGCUAGCGUAGUUCGGAAUUACUGGGCGUAAAGCGCGCGUAGGCGGGCUGGUCAGUUGGGGGUGAAAUCCCGGGGCUUAACCUCGGAACUGCCCUCAAUACUACCAGUCUAGAGUUCGAGAGAGGUAAGUGGAAUUCCUAGUGUAGAGGUGAAAUUCGUAGAUAUUAGGAAGAACACCAGUGGCGAAGGCGGCUUACUGGCUCGAUACUGACGCUGAGGCGCGAAAGCGUGGGGAGCAAACAGGAUUAGAUACCCGUGUAGUCC
rnacentral:rRNA from 1 species